CACUAAUACUAGCUCUAACGUUCAUAAAAGACAAAGGUGUUAUCCAGAUUUAGUACCGAUAUCAAGUAGUAUAUCAGUUAUCAAUUUGAUUUUGUAAGUUGGCUAGAUGAAGAGAAUGGAAGAAUUUCAAGAAGCUUUCAUGAUUCAAAAUGUGGCUAAAUUUGCUCCUAGAUCAAAAGAUUCAAUUGUAUAAUACAUUUUCAUGAUGUGUAAAUAAAAAUAAAAAGGCAUUAUGCCACAUGAGUGUAGAGAAAGCCUUCUUAUAUAUCAGUUAUUAUUCCUUACUGAUGAGAUGACCACAUCUGGUAUAAAAGAUCAGCUGUUGAACUAAUUCUUUAGGAGAAGUAUGUCCUAAAAGUCACACACUAUAGUGAAGAAUAGGAUAAGAAGAAUGAGUUUAGGAACACUAUCAACUACGAUAAGAUGCAUGCUACUCAUACAGAUUUAUGGUGUUUGUCUAUAAGAUGACAAUGAAAGGUACAGAGCAUUCUAAAUUUUAAGUUUUUCUCAGGAUGCACAGUUAGCCCACAAGAAGAACAGGAUAUGACUUUUGUGUAAAUACUUUAUGAAGGUGGAACUUUGAAAAUGAUUAAGAAAUUAGUGACGAAAAACAAUAUUAAACUUGUCUGUGAGAGAUACCUAACAAUCUUUACCGCAUUGCAAAAUAACAAAGAAUAUGAGAGGCUCUUGAAAAUAGGUACACAUAUGCUAUCCUUUCUGACAAUGAAAUUUUAAAUGGGGAAGAAGAAUAUAUUGACAUCAUGAAAUGCAACCUUGAUGAAUCUGUGGACAUACGGAAGACAUUGCUUAUGCAGAACAAAUCUGGCUUUAGGGAAGCAGUAUCUAGAGUAUGAUUUACAGAUUCAUUGGAAAGAGGCAAAAGUUAUUAAUUGUAAUAAAAUCACUGGUGCCUACCAAUCUUUAUUAUCUCAAAAAUUUCUGAAGGAAACUUUUGAGAUAAUGAAGAUUGGUAGACAUAGAAAUGUAAUGAAUGUAUGUAUCUUGCAUAUAAUGAACUAUAGCAAAAUGUGUUUUGGUGUGUAAGAGUGAGUAUUCCUGGACUAUUAUAUUAUUAAUG
rnacentral:lncRNA from 1 species